rnacentral:tRNA from 1 species
GGGGAUAUAGCUCAGUAGGGAGAGCACAUGCCUCGCAUGCAUGAGGUCAGGGGUUCAAAUCCCCUUAUCUCCACCA